rnacentral:rRNA from 1 species
UGAGUAACCUGCCCUUAACUCUGGGAUAAGCCUGGGAAACUGGGUCUAAUACCGGAUAUGACUCCUCAUCGCAUGGUGGGGGGUGGAAAGCUUUAUUGUGGUUUUGGAUGGACUCGCGGCCUAUCGGCUUGUUGGUGAGGUAAUGGCUCACCAAGGCGACGACGGGUAGCCGGCCUGAGAGGGUGACCGGCCACACUGGGACUGAGACACGGCCCAGACUCCGUACGGGAGGCAG